UCUUCCCACAGCCCCAUCUACCUUUCCGGCCAGCGCGGCUCUCCUGAGCCUGAAAGGAGCUGAGACUCUGGACUCCUACUGAAAACCGCCAGACUCAGCUCGCGGCGAUGUCCUCUGCAAUCCGCACCAAUGCAGUGUCCGUCCCAUCGACCUGCUUUGGCUUCAGCACCGAUCAGCUGAGCGACCAUCGAUCGCGCCGCGUAGUACCGCCGCGACUGGGCGGUGGUAAUCGGUGCGGGCCGGCGGACGGGCGGCGGCGCACGGCGGCCGGCCAGUCCCCACUGGAGUGAGCUGGGGUGAGGUGUGUCUUUCGGAGCUGGGAGCGGUCAGCGCCCGCACGCGUGGAGUUGACGCGUGGUGUUUACGCAGUGCGGCUCAGUGGGUGUGUGGGACUGGGCAGCGCGAGGAGAGUGGUGGAACUGCUAUCUGCGGCGUGUUGAUCGUCCUCUGGAUCUACUGGACGAGUUUCUCGGACAGCCGGACUGUUGUCGGUGGCGGCGGUGCCAGCUUUAGGAGUGUGACCGGGCUGGGGCGGUGACCUGACCGGGUCAUCCCGGACCGAAACCAGCAGCCAUGGUGGUCUCCGAGGGCCAGAUCAGCAAUAUCAUGGGCGGCAUGCAAGGCAACGCCGGCAUCCGCCUCAACAACCACAAGCACAAGCUGCGCCACAGAUUCGACAUAGUAAAGAAGCUGGGCCAGGGCACCUACGGCAAGGUUCAACUUGCUAUCAAUAAGGAGACAGGACAGGAUGUUGCAAUCAAGACAAUCCGGAAAGCCAAGAUUGAAACUGAAAAGGAUUUGAUCCGGAUCCGCCGGGAGAUUCAGAUCAUGUCCUCUGUGACUCAUCCACAUAUCAUCCACAUAUUUGAAGUGUUUGAGAACCGCGACAAGAUGGUUCUGGUGAUGGAGUACGCCGCCGGCGGUGAGCUGUACGACUACCUCAGUGAGAAGAAGGUCCUCUCGGAGAGCGAGGCGCGCAGGAUAUUCCGCCAGGUGGCCAGCGCCUGCUACUACUGCCACAAGCACAAGAUUUGCCACCGUGACCUGAAGCUGGAGAAUAUUCUACUCGACGAGUUCGGCAAUGCCAAGAUCGCCGAUUUCGGUCUGAGUAACGUGUUCGAGGACAGCCGCCUGCUGUCGACGUACUGCGGCUCGCCGCUGUACGCCUCUCCGGAGAUCGUGCGGGGCACGCCCUACACGGGCCCCGAAGUGGACUGCUGGUCCCUCGGUGUCCUCCUGUACACACUCGUCUACGGAGCGAUGCCGUUUGACGGCUCCAACUUCAAGAAACUGGUCAAACAGAUCACAGCGGGAGAUUUCUACGAGCCGCAGAAACGGUCCCCCGCCUCCGAGCUGAUCCACGCCCUGCUGACGCCGUCGCCGCAGCAGCGCGCCACCAUGGUGGACGUGUGUGACCACUGGUGGGUGAACCAGGACGAGGAGAUCAACUGUCUGGAGGCGGCCGAGGAGCUGGCCAACCAGACACCGGUGCGACUCGACCUGCUACUCUCACUGGCGCCUCAGGAGCCCGACAAGGAGCACGUCAUGGCGCAGCCGGCGGAGGCGAUCGUGCCUCCGGCGGCCGACACUGAGCCGUCCCAGGCACAGUUCGGCGCCUCCGACUCUCUAUCCCUGGCCAGCAGCGCGAUGGAGAUGGAGCCGGGCGCCUCACCAGCUCCCGGUGACCAGCCCACCGAGCCGGCUACAGCCGACAAGGCGGCCAAACGGGCACUCGAUGAGGGAGAGGAGAAAGCAACACGGAAGGCGGAGAAGGCGCGGAAGAAGGAGGGUGAGAAGGCGGCCAAGAAGAAGAAGAAGCCGCCGUCGGAGCCGCCACUGCCUGAGGAGGAUGUGUCAAUGGGAGAGGCGGCGGCUGCGGCGGGCGGGGAGGUGCAGAGUGCCGGUCAAAGGGUGCCUGAUGGCGAGCAGAAGGCUGCUGAGCCGGUGUCUGAGAAGGCAGCAGUGGCUGCAGAGGAGCCCCAGCGCCCGGAGGAGGAAGAAGGGGAGGGAGAGUCGCGACCGGAGCCGCGUGGGGAGGCACCUGCGGAACCGGAGCCGACCGAGGAAGACUUCCCCGCGGUGGAGGUGCCGCCGCAGCAGCCUCAGGUCACUCAGAGCGCGCCUGAGCCCGAGGUAGUACAGAAGGGACAAUCACCCGUUGGCACUGUGGCCGAGGAGGGUGUUGCGGAGCCCCCCAUCCAGCCGUCACAGGCUGAAACCGGGGAAGGUAAAUCAAAGGCAGUUCCUAGUGCAGAAGGUAGCUCAGAUAGUAAGGUUGCUCAAGAAGUCAUAUCGCCAGAACAGGCACCAGAAGGCCCUGUUCAUACGAGUAGUAAAAUGUCACUGAAACUAGCGGAACCCAAAGAGAAGACUGCGACUCCUGCCGAUAUUAUUGCUGAAGCGGAGUCGAGUCGCCCUGAAGCUGUGAUCACUGAGGACAGUUAUGCACCACCGGAAGUUCAGGCUGAGCCCGUUCAGACCGAGCCCAGUGUAGAGACUGGUGAUGAGAAACCAAAGGUAGAGGCCAUCACGCCUAAGUCAGACCAAAAGGAAAAAUCGCCUGUGCGGACAAGUGAACCAUCUACCACUCCCAAGAAGAGCAAGAUUCCAGUGGUAGAUACCAAAUUCUCAGACAGUCAAACCAAAAAGCCUAAAGCUCCGCAAGAGCCUGCUGCAAAGGUGACUUCGUCUAUUCAGGAGCCUCAGAUCAGUGUGAAGAAAUCUGCUUCCUCAAAGCCUGAUGAAACACCGAGCAAGAAGCCAGCCCGCAGUCCCUCUGACAUGAAGCAAGAUGUGCCUGUCCAGACUAGGAAGCCCACUCCGCCAAAGGAAGAUGUCUCAAGUGUAGCGAAGGACAAGGAUGCUGUUAUAAAACCUGAAGAGAAAGUCAAAGAUCAGCCCGCGAAGCCGGCUAAAAUCGCUAGGCCGUGCAACAAAGAAGAGAAAGAAGAAAAGAAACCACAAGCGCCCGAAGAGACCACAAAGGUCGCCAAACCAGCUGCUAAAAAGCCUGAGGUCACUAAGCCCGCUACGAAGCCGGCAGAGGAGGUUUCAGCACCUCCAGAAAAGCCAAAGGAACACUGGAGGCCUAAGCCUGAGGAGAAACCGAAACCCAAGGCGGCGAAAUCUGAUGAGAAGUCAGCUGCUGAUAAAACUCCCAAAGCUAGUGAGAAGAUGCCUGAGCGUCGCUCGCCGGCGCGUGCCCCUGUCGAGCGAGUGUCCUCUCUACCGUCUGACACUUCAGGGGCCCGCCCCUCGCCCAUCGACACACGGGCUCCCCCAGUGCCUCCGGCCAUGGCAGCAGAGAUUAACCGGCUGUCCCGCGUCUCCAGUGAGGGCACCCAGCGUCCGGCGCCAGCUGCCCCGCGCACUGAGGACCGAGCGCAGAGUCUGCCGCCGCGGCGCGCACCCAGCAAGGAGUACAUCAUCCCCAUCCGACUGGUGGGUGAGGAUGAGGACACUAAACCGGCCGCCGCGCCCGCCCCGGCUCCGACACCGGCAUCAGAGCCAGCGGCGGCGGCCGCUCCUCCGAGCGUCACACCAGCACCGGCAGAACCGCCGGCCCCUGCCGCCGCUCCUGCGCCAGCCCCUGCUGCCGCUCCUGCGCCAGCCGCUGCCUACCGUCGCCGUCAGAAGCCGGUCUCCCACACCAGUUCUCUUCGCUCCCUGCCUGAAGACUCGUCUAGUGACGACGGUAGUGGCACUGCCGAGGAACUGGCUCCGCCUCCUGCCAGGGAAGCGCUGCGCAAGUCUCCGCGCGAGUUUAUCAUCCCGAUCGCGCUGGAGGGAGGCGGCACGAUGACGCCGACGGUACAGGCGCAGACCAAGGAGGAGGACCGGGAGAAGGGCGGCAGUCUGUUCCGGACGCACCAGAUGUCUGGCCAGCGCCGGCUGGGAAACUUGCUGGGCGACCGGUCCUCGCGUGAAGACCUGUGGGACGCGCCUUUGGGCCUGCGGAGACUCAGUUCAAUGCGGUGUUUCGACGAUCGGCCGCUGCUCGAUAUGGGAAGCUGGCCUUCCGAGCGGCGAAGACUGUCCCGUCCCCGUAUGACUUCCUCUACGGAGCGGGCGGACAGUCUCAGUUCGGGCGGCGAGGAUGAUGACGACGAUCAGUUCGACUUCUUCACCGCCGAGUCCCUGUUCGGCAACCUCAUGGACAGGAUGAAGAGCCUCACCAAGCGCAUGGACAUGGACGGCAACCCGGCCAAGCGCUCGCUGCUGAUGGGUGAGCCGCUGCGUCUAGACCGGACGCGCAGUGCCGGCGGCUCCCUCUCGCAGCGAGGUCUGCCCGCCAUGCCCGAUCUCUGGGACAUGCACGGACCCGUCAAGUCGCUGUUCGAUAAGCCCAUGACGUUCCGACACGGCUCGCUGUUUGAUCAGUCGCCGUUCUCCAGUAGGCCUCCUCGUGUGUUCCAGUUUUAUCAACACUCGUCUUUCGGCUCGCACCCGGCUGCGUCGGCGACGUCGACGGCGGCGACGGCUGAGAGCUCCGACAGCGGCGGCAGUCAGCACGAGGAUGAGGCCGCGCCGGCCGGCGGAACGCGCCACAGGACCACCGUCGUCAGGAGGACGGGGUCCGCCUCACAGUCGCCCCCAAAAACGAAAGUGUCAACAAUCACGUUCAAGAUAAAGCCGAAAGACAGCCAUUAGUGUAGCCGGGCGAGUACUUUUGGCGGCCUACCUUUGACGGCCGUCUCUGACGGCGGCCUCAGGACGACCACUGCAGGGAGACUCGUAUAGACUGGCCCGGUGUUGGCCGCAAACGAUCUUCGGGCGGCCGAGGGCGCGCCUAGAUCCGGACUCUGCCGCGCCGGAGGUGGGGGCGCCACCCGUUCUGCCCGCCGCCAGCACGGCUGUCCAAUCGUCUGGUGCUUGCCGGGACGUUCUGCUGACGUCAUUGGCCCGUUUGAUGACGUCAUCGGCCCCCAACAGCCGCUACGAGGCUGCCCGCUCUGAUGGCUGUGUGACCAGUUCGUCGGAGGCCUGCUCUAAUGGCUGUGCUGCCGGGCGCUGAUUCGCACGGACUGCGCGAGAUGCGGCAUUGAGCAAUGCCUACGGUGUGAAAUGAACUUUACCUGAGGCGUGAUUGUAUGUGAAACUCAAACCGCAGGAUUUAUUAGGUUUUGCGAUGCUCCAUUUUGUCGAAUAGAGAGACUGUGAGUUGAACGUUCGGGGUGGGGAGGGAAUAGUGUGUGUAUGUGGUGGGCUGGGGCGUUAACACCCUGAACUAACCACGAUUGGUCACUGGCUGACCGUGUACUACUAAUGGCAAUACGAAUGGAGGACUCGACGAGCUUUGUAUGACUGAUAGUGCUGAGUUCAAAUCAGUGGCCAUUAUUUCCUGACUCGUGAGAGACGGUAUUUAGAUGUUUUUCCGAAGCCUUUUUUGUUACGUACUCAGUACUCGUCAGCUGUUUUUAAGUCGUUCUUUUUUGCCGAUCCUUUGCAGAUAUAUUGCCACUGAUGCCAAUAUGCAAACAUUGACAGCAUUGUUUCUCUGCUUCACAUCUACAUAGCAAUGAUGUUACUGUUUCGGCAGCACCUUUUUUUCUGAACACGACAAACGAAGCAGAAGUCCCAGUGUCUUCCACUCUUAUCUCGUUUCUCUCUCUCUCUCUCUCUUCGUUUCUGGGACCUGUGUCUGCGUCGGUCUGUCUGAGGUUCGCGGCUCAGUCCAGUCUGCGCUCUCAGUGUCCGCUGUGGGCGCAGUAAGGCAUCUCGCUCUGCCCGCUGUGUGCGAAACGGGACGUCUGUCACUGAAGUCAAUUUGUAUGACUGCGUAGUGCGUAUGUGUUAACCCGUCUGUUGCAAUUGUUGAUUUUGAAAAUAAAGACAUUUUACUCGAA